AGGAACAUAUGUGAUUUGAUUAUGUGCUGCCUUUUCUCUCUCUUUUCGUACACCAUAUAGUCGUCAUCAGGACAGGGAAAGGUUCCUCGCUGCAGCGUUCACCCAAUAAGUAAACCCAAAAUUCCCCUUUCCAUUUCCAAUUCGAAACCCUAAUUCUAGACUCUCCUCAUUGUUAGAUCUGCAUCGCAAGAUCUGGGUCGACUCGCAAAGGGGUUUCAUAUAAUUCCAUGUUUAUUCACGAAAUUUCGUUGAAAUUUUGACAUUUUUGUUAUGAGAAAUGUCGCUUUUGUCAAAAAGCGAUUCUAUUCUGAUUCGGGAGGUGUGGAAUGACAAUCUCGAAGAAGAAUUCGCAUUGAUCCGAGGCCUCGUUGAUGAUUUCCCUUACAUUGCAAUGGACACCGAAUUUCCUGGGAUUGUUCUUCGUCCUGUCGGUAAUUUCAAAAACAGUAACGAUUAUCAUUACCAGACGCUAAAAGAUAACGUCGACAUGCUCAAAUUGAUCCAGUUAGGGUUAACGUUCUCUGACGAUCAAGGAAACCUACCAACAUGCGGAACAGAUAAAUAUUGCAUCUGGCAAUUCAAUUUCCGGGAAUUCAAUGUAAACGACGAUGUUUUUGCAAAUGAUUCCGUUGAGCUUUUGAGACAGAGUGGUAUUGAUUUCAAGAAAAACAACGAAAAUGGAAUUGAUGCACAGAGAUUUGGUGAGCUAUUGAUGUCAUCAGGGAUUGUUUUGAAUGAUAGUGUGUAUUGGGUUACUUUCCAUAGUGGAUAUGAUUUUGGGUAUUUGUUAAAGGUGCUGACUUGCCAGAAUCUACCCGACACACAAUCUGGAUUCUUUAGUUUGAUUGAUAUGUAUUUCCCCACCAUUUUUGACAUUAAGCAUUUGAUGAAGUUCUGCAAUAGUCUUCAUGGUGGAUUGAACAAGCUGGCUGAACUGUUGGAAGUUGAAAGAAUUGGUGUUUGUCAUCAAGCUGGAUCAGAUAGUUUGCUUACUGCUUGUACUUUCAGAAAGUUGAAAGACAACUUCUUUAGUGGUUCUUUGGAGAAAUAUGCUGGUGUCUUGUAUGGUUUAGGUGUUGAGAAUUGACAACAAUGCUUUCAUUGUUGGAAGAUAGUAGAAAAAAUAAAAAAAAUAAUUUUAUGAAAGCUAUAUGUGUGUUGUAAAUGCACCACAGUUUGUACACAUCUUGAGAGAAAAAAAAAGGUCUGAUUCCAUGGUGAAGCAUUUUUAAUUGGUUGCCAAUGCCAUGCUCUCUUGCUGAUCAUUGAUCAUGUCCGGCCCUUCUAUUUGACUCAAAUUUUCGAGCAACAGAUGACAUGAGCGCAAUGUUUGGUGUCGAAGAGGGAUGAUCCAAGCUUGUUGUGACUCACAAACAUUGAUGAUGUGAAGAAGUUGCAAAGUUGCAGCAGCUGUUAUGAAUUAUGAUUUUAAUUUGGUGUAACUAGAGAUUAAAUUCAAUUAUUAAUCAUGUUUUGAUUUUAUAUAAUUGAAUUUGUGUCGUUAUGUACAAGAAUCCAUAAAUAAGCAGGAAUUUCUUCUUUAAUGGAUAGAGGGUUAAUUCUGUCA